rnacentral:rRNA from 1 species
UUUUCUCAGGGAAUAAGCAAGUGAAGGUACCUGAGGAAUCAGCAUCGGCUAACUCCGUGCCAGCAGCCGCGGUAAUACGGAGGAUGCAAGCGUUAUCCGGAAUGAUUGGGCGUAAAGCGUCCGUAGGUAGCAGUGUGUGUCUAUUGUUAAAGAGUUUGGCUUAACCAAAUAAGGGCGGUAGAAACUACACAGCUAGAGUGCGUUCGGGGCAGAGGGAAUUCCUGGUGUAGCGGUGAAAUACGUAGAGAUCAGGAAGAACACCGGUGGCGAAAGCGCUCUGCUAGGCCGCAACUGACACUGGAGGGAACCSCCGUCCA